rnacentral:rRNA from 1 species
UGUGGUUAGCCUUGUAUUAGGAUUUACUCCGAAAGCAAGGAAACUUACAACAAAGAGUCCCUCCCGACUGUUUACCAAAAACACAGCACUCUGCUAACUCGUAAGAGGAUGUAUAGGGUGUGACGCCUGCCCGGUGCUCGAAGGUUAAUUGAUGGGGUUAGCAUUAGCGAAGCUCUUGAUCGAAGCCCGAGUAAACGGCGGCCGUAACUAUAACGGUCCUAAGGUAGCGAAAUUCCUUGUCGGUUAAAUACCGACCUGCAUGAAUGGCGUAACGAGAUGGGAGCUGUCUCAAAGAGGGAUCCAGUGAAAUUGUAGUGGAGGUGAAAAUUCCUCCUACCCGCGGCAAGACGGAAAGACCCCGUGGACCUUUACUACAGCUUGACACUGCUACUUGGAUAAGAAUGUGCAGGAUAGGUGGGAGGCUUUGAGUAUAUGACGCCAGUUGUAUAUGAGCCAUUGUUGAGAUACCACUCUUUCUUAUUUGGGUAGCUAACCAGCUUGAGUUAUCCUCAAGUGGGACAAUGUCUGGUGGGUAGUUUGACUGGGGCGGUCGCCUCCCAAAUAAUAACGGAGGCUUACAAAGGUUGGCUCAGAACGGUUGGAAAUCGUUCGUAGAGUAUAAAGGUAUAAGCCAGCUUAACUGCAAGACAUACAAGUCAAGCAGAGACGAAAGUCGGUCUUAGUGAUCCGGUGGUUCUGUGUGGAAGGGCCAUCGCUCAAAGGAUAAAAGGUACCCCGGGGAUAACAGGCUGAUCUCCCCCAAGAGCUCACAUCGACGGGGAGGUUUGGCACCUCGAUGUCGGCUCAUCGCAUCCUGGGGCUGGAGCAGGUCCCAAGGGUAUGGCUGUUCGCCAUUUAAAGCGGUACGCGAGCUGGGUUCAGAACGUCGUGAGACAGUUCGGUCCCUAUCUGCCGUGGGCGUAAGAAGAUUGAAGAGAUUUGACCCUAGUACGAGAGGACCGGGUUGAACAAACCACUGGUGUAGCUGUUGUUCUGCCAAGAGCAUCGCAGCGUAGCUAAGUUUGGAAAGGAUAAACGCUGAAAGCAUCUAAGCGUGAAGCCAACUCUAAGAUGAAUCUUCUCUAAGCUCUCUAGAAGACUACUAGUUUGAUAGGCUGGGUGUGUAAUGGAUGAAAGUCCUUUAGCUGACCAGUACUAAUAGAGCGUUUGGCUUAUCUUUAAUAAAGCAU